CUGGGCCCGUAUUCAUUAAUAAUCUCACUGCAAAAAGUAGCUCCUAGUGACAAAAUUCUAAGAAAAUUCUUAGAAAUGUGGGUGUUUACUCUUAAAAUUAAAGAAAAAUCCUAGUAAAGAAAAAAAGUAAUUCAGAAAGCAUCUUAACCCUUAAAAGAGGUCUUAAGGUCAAACUUGAUUGAUUUUAAAGUACUUUUACUAGUAUAUAAGUCACUAAAUGACCUAGGACCGAAAUAUAUUGCAGAUAUGUUCACUGAAUAUAAACCUAACAGACCACUCAGAUCACUAGGAUCGAGUCAGUUAGAAAUACCAAGGGUUCACACAAAACAAGGGGAGACCGCCUUUAGUUACUAUGCUGCCCGCAGUUGGAAUCAGCUUCCAGAAGAGAUCAGAUGUGCUAAAACACUAGUCACAUUUAAAUCUAGACUCAAAACCCAUCUGUUUAGCUGUGCAUUUAUUGAAUGAGCACUGUGCUAUGUCCGAACUGAUUGCACUAUAUUU